GGGGCGCGGAGCCCGCCGGACCGGCGGCUGAUGGCAGCUGCGCAGGAUGACACGGGCCCAUCACGUGGGUGAGCCCUCCCCGCCCCUCGCCGUACGGGACCCACGGGCCGCUGCCGCUGCCGCCCAGGGGACUCCGCCAGCGGCCGCGCCGUGCGCCACAGCUCGGAGAGUCCGGCAGCCGCACGGAGCCUCAGCGACCCGUCCCCAGCACCCCGACGCCCAUCCGCGCUGGGCUUCCGCUGCAGGAGGCGGCCCGGCCCGCAGCCCGAGAGUGAGUGAGCGAGAGAGAGGUCUGAAGAAUGAUAGAUUAAUCUGGGAAGGUGAAUGACGCUAAAGGUGGAAAUACAAUAGCAGAACACUAACAAAUUAAGAGGAUGGAGGAAAGAUGUGAUGUGUACAACAAAGAAAGUUACAGGUAAGCGGUAUUAUCUUUCUGUAGGUGAUAUAACUGAGCUUGGAUAUGUCAUACCUCAUUUUAAAAAAAAGC
rnacentral:lncRNA from 1 species